rnacentral:rRNA from 1 species
GGCAGUGUCGGAGCGAAGGUGUUAAAUGGGCCGCUUGGGAAGUAUGGUCGCAAGACUGAAACUUAAAGGAAUUGGCGGGGGAGCACCGCAACGGGAGGAAUGUGCGGUUAAAUUGGAUUCAACGCCGGAAAACUCACCGGGAACGACCUGUGCAUGAGAGUCAACUUGACGAGCUUACUCGAUAGCAGGAGAGGUGGUGCAUGGCCGUCGUCAGCUCGUACCGUAGGGCGUUCACUUAAGUGUGAUAACGAGCGAGACCCACAUCUUUAAUUGCAAAUGUAUAUGGGAAUAUGCAUGCACUUUAGAGAAACAGCCAGCGCUAAGCUGGAGGAAGGAGUGGUCGACGGCAGGUCAGUACGCCCCGAAUUUCCCGGGCUACACGCGCAUUACAAAGAACGGGACAAUACGUUGCAACCUCGAAAGAGGGAGCCAAUCGCGAAACCCGUCCAUAGUUUGGAUUGAGUCACUUUAGUCGCCGUCAGUAUGUGUACUCUGUUGUAAUCUUAUUCGACUAACUAAUAGGGACACAUACACCCGCUC